CGAGGCGUGUGGGGAACACACAGUCCCUGGACGUGCUGCGACGUGGCAUGUGGGUGCCUGAGCUCAGAAGGGCCGUGCUGAGUGCAUGCACCAUACAGUGUGUGUGUGUGCAUGUGUGAGAGAGACAUGUUGCAUGCAGGGAGUGUGCCUUGCACGCACUCUGCCCUCUGCACCUCUGGGUAGCCCGGCGAUGAGCCCCGGGGGUGUGCAGAACGUGCAUGUGCCCGGCCGUGACGAAGGCGGCAGCGGGGGCGCCGGGGCCAUGUCCCCAGUUGUGUGUGCACACACGCAUGUGCACGUGGCUCCUGGAGAAGAAAUGUUUAAAAAUGGAGUUGUCAGCCCCGAGUUGACAGGCGCAGUCAGCAAAGUGCAGCGUCGGCAGGAACGGCCGCGCUCCUCAAUUACCCGGGAGGAAAUGGCCCCGCUUUGUGCUGAGGAGGCAGAGUGUGACUGGAAUAGAGCAAGUGGAGCAGACCCAAAAACUUCAUUAAUUAAAGAAACUCAUUAAUGAGGGACAUUUAAUCAGCUGAAGAUGAGAUCCCCGCUUGCCUCUUCCAGGAGCCAGGCGCCGGACGGGGCCCGGAGCCAGCUCGCUGCUGCACCUGCCCAAGGGGCCAGGGGCCGGGGCAUGUCUGGGUGACAGGCUGCUCUCUGGGGCAGCUGGGUCAGGGGGCCUGGGGGUGAGUGGCAGUGUCGGAGGCACUCUUGUUGUCCCAGCUGAGGAGGGUGGGGCUGCUGGCACCUCGCAGGUGGAGCUCGGGGGUGCUGCUGAGCCCCAUGCAGUGCAGGGGAGGCCCCGCCAGAGAGCCACCUGCCCGCAUCACCAGUGCCAAGGCAGAGGCUCCUGCUCCAGGCUGCGUGGGAACCCCCUUGGGGGUGGGCUGAGUGCCUGGCACGUGAAUGAAGUGCGUGUGCACGGGAUGCACGUGUGGGCGUGUGUCAGGGUGUGUCCCUGUGGGCUGCGGCCGGGCGUUCAGAGCAGAAGUGCAGCACUUCUGGCGAGGGGAGAGGGUGCUGGACCCCGUUACCUGGAGGAGGCCUGACUGGUGAGCUCAGAGACCUGUUGCUGCACGUGCGUCUCCCAGGAUCCCCUGACCUGGGAGGACCUUGCUUUUAAGUGUAUUUUUUUAAUCUUUUUAUAGCAUUUUUUAUUACUCAGUUACAUUUAUAGUUGCAUAAUGAUCACCACAACCAAAUUUUAUAGCAUUUCCAACCCAAACCCCCAGUGCAUCCCCCCACCCCCCAACCUGUCUCACUUGGAAACCAUGUUUUUCAAAGUGUGUGAGUCAGUUGAGUGGGUUCAGAGAACUGUCUGCUCAGGCUUCAGGACCGUGAGGAGAAUGGUCCCCGCCCAGGACAGGCGUUUGAGGGCGCACGUGUCGGGGGGGCCACCUCCCCACACCUCAGUCCUGACUGCAUGCACAGGGAGGAAGGGUGCCCCCGGGCCAGGCACCUGGUUGAGAGUGCCGCCCUUGGGCCACCGAGCUGCCCGGCACCUUCCCCGCUCCCAGGCCACGCGAGGCCGGCUGCCCAGUGGACAGAGCUUGGGCAAAAGGCGGAGAUCUGAGCGCCUGGAGAGUUCGGUCGUAGUGGCACAGGGUGGAUCCGUCCCCCCAGUGUAGGUUGUCCCCUCUGGGAGGUACGGUGGCCAGGGACCCUCCCUCCCCCUGGCCUCCUUUGUCUCUGAGCUCCAGCCCCUCCGAGUGCAGGGAUGCAGUGGGCUUGCCCCCCACUACGUGCCAGGACAGCCGUCCACGUGGGAGGGUCGGGGAGGGCCUCCCAGGCAGAGCAGGUGGGCGAUGCCAGAGUGUCCGAUGUGAGCUGAGGAGGGGGCACCAGGCAGAGCAGGGCGGAGGCAGCGUCAUAUCCUUCCGGCAAGAGCUGGAAGAGGGGGUGUAGCAGCACAGUCCGGUCUCGAGGCAGAGGGACGCCCCUGUGGCCUUUCAUGGCCCCCAGCCUCAGGCCUUUCCAUCUCAGUCCCACUUCUGCCUCAGCAGCAGAGAGGUGGGUCCACCCUGUCCUGGAGAGAGUGACAAGCAGAUGGCCCCACAGGGACCCUGUCAGGGAGGGAUGGGGACAAGCCACUGGGAAUCCCCGCCCUGGGCCCCAGUGUACUGGGAGCACCUUCUGGGGUGAGGCCAGUAAUGGGGGGGCCUGGCCUCGUUAAUGCCCAGAAACCACUGCUGGAGGCACUACUCCUGCUGUUGUGCGGGUGCCUUCAUGAGUCUGGGGUUCAGGCCUCUCAGACAGUGUCCCUGUGCUGCCACCUGAGCCAGGGCACAGCUUCCAGCUCUAGCACAAAGAUGAGCCUGGGACAGAUGUGGGGGCGGCACAGGGCAGGGUCCUGCCGUAGGGGUGCCGGUGGGGCUGCGGGCCGCAGGUCUUACAGAGAAGACAGCGCUUCAGGCAGCGCUGGCUCCACCCCUGCCCCCCCCCGGGCCCUCCCACCCACCGCCACCAGCCUGUCCCUUCUCAGUCUAGCGCUGCUGUCUGAUCACUUGGCCUUCUGCCCUGGUCUCCCCAGCUGCCUGGGCAGAGCAGAUGCUUGGAGUUACAAAUGGGUGAGGGCACGGUCUGCCCCCAUGGGAGCCUGGAUUCUAGACCGGGUGGUGCCACUGAUGUGCCUGUGACCUUGGGAGUCAGGGCCCUUGGGACAUGCUUUAAUGUCCCCACCUCACUGUAGACAAGGUUAGAUGGGGCCACACCCACGUAAUUCUCAGGAGGGCACCCAGCAUCCUGGCAUCAGCCAGAGUCUCUGCUGCCCUUUCAAGCUCUGCCCCGCUCCCCGGGGCCUGCCCAGAAGCCAGCCCUCACCCCGGGUCCUCCUACGGCCACUCUUCAGGCCCAUUUCUGUUCUGGCUCCAGUGCCAUCCGCCCACAGCCAUUGUCCCAUGAUGAGCCUAAGCAGAUGUCCUCCCAGCCCAAGCCCAGGGGUGAGAGUGCCCCUCCCCAGGCCCUGGCCACCAGGGCCCCAAGGCCUCUCAGUCCCUGGGAAGAACGGUCCCUCCAAUAGAAUCUGAAGCUCCCUCCGGGUCCAGGUGAGGCCGCCGCUCCCCAAUUUGGCUCCUGCUGGAAACCUUCCCCCCUCCACGAGAGCCAGGGUCCCAGGCCCACCAGGUUGGGCUCAAACUCAGGGCACCAUCCCAGGGCUGUUUCUGCUUUGUCGUCAGUAGCAGCUGUUCCCUUGAGUCACAGAUUCUGAGUUGCCAGGUCAGGAAGUCCCAAGAAUCUGCAAUGCUUACGGCUCCCGGAACACGUGCUGUAGCCCCACACAGGGACCUCACACCUUCUCCCUCCAGCCUUGCCCUUGGUAGCCUACGGGCGUCUUGGAGCCCUUGCUCCCCAGGCCCCAGGACCCAGGCAGACAGCUCAGCUGGCUCGGCUGCCCCUUGCUUCACACUGGUCGAGCCCUGGGCUCCUGCGGCCAGGGACAUGAGGCCACUGUGGCUCCUUCUCCUCCCAGAGGCAGAGGGGGCCUCAGGUUGCCCACACUGGGGUCUGAAGCCCACCCGCCCUGGCCCUGCCCCCACCUGCGUGGCCUCAGGCCAGGUGCUCGGGCCCCAAGAACCCAUCUGUGAGAUGGGGGCGGUGGUGAGUGGCCAGCCCAUCCCUGGUGCAGUGCCUCUGGCUGGCACUCCGCCUCCCAGCCCCACUGCUCUCACUUCCCCACUGGUCUGGCUGGAAGAGGGUCCCGGCUUUUCCCAAGCACCUCCCUUUCCCCUCAGAGCCGAGUGCCUCCUCCCAGUGCUCCUGACUUGCCUGUCUCGGGGAGAGGGCCAGUGAGCAAGAGCAGCCACUGAAAGAGGCCUGGGAGGAGCUGGCAGCCACCUGCCCCACCCUCUGUUCUAAUGGGGAACAGGCCUCCAGGCUCUGCAGAGGGGCCACAGGUGACAGACAGCGUCCCACCCCUAGUUCUGCCUCCUGGCUCCUGGGUCCCUGGACAGCCGGUGUCCUGUUAACCACGGCCCCACCUGUGCCCAGAGGGGAGCCCCGAGCCUGGUGCUGGUUCUGCAUGACACCUCCACACACGUGCAGACACACACGUAAACACACAGAGCCAAGGAUUCGGGGCAGGGCCGCGCCCAAGGGGAUUCAUGAAAUGGGGUGGAGGACCACCAGUCAUCGUGGGGCGGUGAUCAGCCCCAGCUUGCUCAGCUCCCCUGCUGACCCCAGGGCCAUGCUGUCCCCUCCUUUCACCCUCCUGCAGAGGUCCCAGCAGCCUUGAGCUCAGCAGGGGCCCCGGAAGUCGGGACCUGUGGUGGCCUCGAUUGACAGCACCCCUGCUCCGCCCCUGCCUUUCCUGGGCCCAGCAGCCAGACUCCUCAGUGGGUUCCCUGGGCGAGGUGGAGAGCAGGGUGCAGGGGAAGCUGGUGGAAGAAGAGGAUUUAUGGGCCACAUUAUUUAUGCUCUCUGUGCAGUGAGCUUGGAGGGAAUUAUGGCUUAAUCAUGCGAGAAUCCAUCCCCUCCCUUGGGGCUUUUCAGCUCAGAUUUGGGCCUGACUUGAUGCAGGAAGGGGCUGAGUCUGGGCUGAGAGACUGGUGCUGGGCUCUGGCUGGCGGCCGGCCUCCAUGCUGUGCUUGGGGGUGGCAUCUCGGUCAGUAGAGCGGGAAGGCCCCGGGGUUCCCUUGGGCCAGACGUUUUUACCCUCUCUUGUGCCUCAAACCCCCCUUAGCAUUUGUGAGGUGCCUGGACUUCUCCACAAAUGGUGUUCAGGAAGUUCCUCUCAUGGUUCGGUGGAAAUGAACCCAACUAGUAUCCAUGAGGACUCAGGUUCGAUCCCUGGCCCCGAUCAGUGAGUUAAGGAUCCGGUGUUGCCAUGAGCUGUGGUGUAGGUCGCAGACACAGCUCAGAUCUGGUGUUGCUGUGGCUGUGGGGUAGGCCAGCGGCUACAGCUCCAAUUCAACCCCUAGCCUGGGAACCUCCAUAUGCCGUGGGUGUGGCCCU
rnacentral:lncRNA from 1 species